ACUUCUAAUCUACAUUUUGCUUCUGUUUUCUAUUGUUUGACCUUGAUCUUCUCUAUCUUUGAUCAUAGCUUGUUGAUUAUCUCAUUCCAUUUCAUUUAAUGCACUUUAGUUCUUCAUUUCUAUUCUUCAUCAUCUUCUUCUUCUUUUCUUUUUUUGAUCAAUGAGUUAAAGGUUGAUGGUUAGCAAUGAUUAGGGAGGUUUAAUCUUCCUUGAUUCAAAUCUAAUUCAUCUUGAUCAAUGAUCAAGUGAAUGGCUUUGCAUUAAGGAUAAAUUACUUUCUAAGUCAUGCAAAAGACAUAAAUCAAUACAAGACCAUUUCUCAUCUUCUUUUUUGGCAUGGCAAGUUGUUAGAGUUUGAUUCACUAAUCAAGACCUUUAACUUGUGUUGUUG
rnacentral:lncRNA from 1 species